UCCGGCUUAUCACCGGCAGUCCCACUAGAGUGCCCAACUAAAUGCUGGCAACUAAUGGCGAGGGUUGCGCUCGUUGCGGGACUUAACCCAACAUCUCACGACACGAGCUGACGACAGCCACGCACCACCUGUGCACUGGCCCCGAUGGGCUGCCGUAUUUCUACGACAUUCCAGUGCAUGUCAAGCCUUGGUAAGGUUCUUCGCGUCGCGUCGAAUUAAACCACAUGCUCCACCGCUUGUGCGGGCCCCCGUCAAUUCCUUUGAGUUUUAAUCUUGCGACCGUACUCCCCAGGCGGGGUGCUUAAAGCGUUAGCUGCGCCACCGAUGAGCAAGCUCACCGACGGCUAGCACCCAUAGUUUACGGCGUGGACUAC
rnacentral:misc_RNA from 1 species